GGGGUGAUAGCUCAGUGGUGAAGCUCAUGCUUAGCAUGCACAAGGUCCUGGGUUCAAUCUCCAGUACCUCCA
rfam:Camelus ferus unplaced genomic scaffold scaffold1904, whole genome shotgun sequence.